GACGUAGGGGGCGAGCGUUGCCCGGAAUCACUGGGUGUAAAGGGGACGUAGGCGGAUGAUCAAGUCAUCUGUGAAAAGGUUGCUCAACGAUUGGCUUGCGGAUGAAACUGGUUAUCUUGGGCGUAGCAGAGGUAGACGGAAUUACCUGAGUAGGGGUGAAAUCCGCAGAUACAGGUAAGAACGCCGGUGAAGAAGUUGGUCUACUGGGCUACAGCUGACGCUGAGGUCCGAAAGCCAGGGGAGCGAACCG
rnacentral:rRNA from 1 species